rfam:Triticum aestivum genome assembly, contig: Triticum_aestivum_CS42_TGACv1_scaffold_577415_7BL
AAAGUACUCCCUCCGUCCCAAAAUUCUUGUCUUAGAUUUGUCUAGAUACGGAUGUAUCAAGUCACAUUUUAGUAUUAGAUACAUCCGUAUCUAGACAAAUAUAAGACAAGAAAUUUGGGACAGAGGGAGUAGUUG